rnacentral:rRNA from 1 species
AACGGGAGUACUUUGAAAGCUUGCUGAUAAGUACUUUAGUGGCGGACGGGUGAGUAACGCGUGAGGAGCUGUCUUAUGCAGGGGGACAACAGUUGGAAACGGCUGCUAAUACCCCAUAAGCCGAGAGGUAAAAGGAGCAAUCCGGCAGAGGAGGUACUCGCGUCCUAUCAGCUAGUAGGUUGGGUAACGGCCGACCUAGGCGAAGACGGGUAGCCGGCCUGAGAGGGCGAACGGCCACACUGGAACUGAGAUACGGUCCAGACUCCUACGGGAGGCAGCAGUGGGGAAUAUUGGGCAAUGGGGGGAACCCUGACCCAGCGACGCCGCGUGGGUGAAGAAAUCCUUCGGGAUGUAAAGCCCUGUUGUAUGGGAAGAGCAGAAGACGGUACCAUACGAGGAAGCCCCGGCAAACUACG